UAAGUAGAAGUUCGCUGGAUUGAACGCUUAGCUGUUAACUAAGAUUUUACAGGAUCAAGGCCUGUCUACUUAG
rnacentral:tRNA from 1 species